GAUGAACGCUAGCGGCAGGCUUAACACAUGCAAGUCGAGGGGUAUUGGUUUUCGGACCAAGAGACCGGCGCACGGGUGCGUAACGCGUAUGCAAUCUACCUUUUGCAGAGGGAUAGCCCCAGAGAAAUUUGGAUUAAUACCUCAUAGUAUAGUACUUUGGCAUCAAGGAACUAUUAAAGUCACAACGGCAAAAGAUGAGCAUGCGUCCCAUUAGCUAGUUGGUAAGGUAACGGCUUACCAAGGCUACGAUGGGUAGGGGUUCUGAGAGGGAGAUCCCCCACACUGGUACUGAGACACGGACCAGACUCCUACCGGGAGGGCAGCAGUGAGGAAUAUUGGACAAUGGGCGCAAGCCUGAUCCAGCCAUGCCGCGUGCAGGAUGACGGUCCUA
rnacentral:rRNA from 1 species